AACAACAUUCGACAGUGUGCGUAUAGCAGAUUCGGAUUGACAUGCGAGUCAGACCCUUGGAUAAGAUUGAACAAUACACACAGAGACAGGAUUUGUUGAUUUUACCGAAUGUGGCCUCAAGUUUGCCCGGUCUGAUAGGAACGGCGGAAUAAGAGAGGAGCGAUGGAAUAAGGUAGAGGAAUGUGGAACAAGAGCGAAACGAUGAAACAGAAACAGAGUAGGAAUGUGGAAAAUAAGAGGAACGAUGGAAUGCGGUAGAGAAAAUUGGAACAGGAGCGGAACGAUGGUACGGGACGGGAAUGUGGAACAGGACAGGAACGAUGGAACCGGGUUGGAAUGUGGAACAGAAAACGACCGCUGCAGUAAGAUAACACGAAAAAAGAUGGCGUAAGGACGCGAUAUGUGUGUAGCAUUGCACAGUUAUUAAGACUUGUCCAUAUUUAACAGUGUCUCGGUCAAUACGUCCUACCGAGAGUCUUCCAGAACUUCGUUUCUGGUUUUAAUAUAAAAGGACAGUCGAUCGGUAGUUCGGAUAUAAGAAACGGACCCCUCCGGUCAAAAUGACGGCGAUAGAGACUUGCAGUCUUCGGGCGGAAUGAAUGGGGAAAACAAUAAUACGAAAAGGGAGAGAAGAGCAUGCAGUGCGAUAUUUUGACGGCACAUCUCUCGGUUUCACCCGCAGGGCAUUAAGGAGUGACGGAAAGGGUGUCUCGCCUUGAAGCUGGUGCAGGGAGAGGCGUUCGCCGAGUAAGAAAUACGAUGGGGUGACCGUAAUUAUUAUGGUCGCGUGUCAGCCGGCAGCAGGGGCGGUUGGCUCAGCCUUAGCAGGUUGCGGCGGCCUGGAGCCGGUAUUCCCAAGUAUAAUUAUUUGCGUUGCUAUUACUGUCGGGAAGAUAACGCCUGCGCGUAUCAAUAAUAGAUUAGCCGCGAGUUGUUUGUGGCGAAAACCAUCAAGAUACGUUCUCGUCGGCGUACCGCGGCUGGUUCACAAUAAUACCAUUAAUAUAUAACACGGUGAAACCCAAGAACGGCAGGUACAAAUACCGAAACUCGAAAAAUUUCCACUUCUCAUUAUACCGUACAUUUCUUAACUAUUUCGACUUUUCACCGUAGCCGGAAAAUCCAAAUUAACGAAUUACUACGGUUGUAGGCAAAUCAUUUUUGCAGGUAUAACAAUGACUGGUAAAGUAAUACUUCUUUAUAUAUGUAUUUAUUCAUUCAUUUAUAUAUAUUAUAU
rnacentral:lncRNA from 1 species